CCUACGGGGCGCAGCAGUGAGGAAUAUUGGUCAAUGGCCGAGAGGCUGAACCAGCCAAGUCGCGUGAGGGAUGACGGCCCUACUGGUUGUAAACCUCUUUUGUCGGGGAGCAAGACCCGCCUCGUGCAGGCGGAGCGAGAGUACCCGAAGAAAAAGCAUCGGCUAACUCCGUGCCAGCAGCCGCGGUAAUACGUAGGGGGCAAGCGUUAUCCGGAUUUACUGGGUGUAAAGGGAGCGUAGACGGUGCAGCAAGUCUGAUGUGAAAGGUCGGGGCCCAACCCCGGGACUGCAUUGGAAACUGUUGA
rnacentral:rRNA from 1 species